AGACAAGACGUAAAAUUACAAAUCCCACUAAGGCCAUGCCAAGACCCGCCCUACGAAGUAGCUCGAUGGGUUGGGGUUAGGAAUUUGACCUCAAGUGGUUAAGGUUAGGAUAGCCGAUUGGUCAGGG